AAAGAUAUACAUUAUAAAUGAAUUACAAACUAAAAUGUGAUAAUUAUUUCGAGAUAAAUAAUUUAAUAAGAUGCGAUAAAUAUUUUAGAACAAAAUAAAUAAUUAUUUAAUUUUAAUUUAAUGAUAGAAAAAUAUUUAACGCGUGACUGCGUUAAAUUGAUGAGAGGAGAGAAUAGUCAUCUUUUUUAUAAAUGGACAAAUAUGCACAAUAAUUUUAAGGUUUAAAUUUGAGGAUUUUUUUU
rnacentral:lncRNA from 1 species